AUUGAUGAUCUAAAACAAAUGUGGAUCUUUGUAAGCUUGACUAGGUCAUGUAAAAUAGGGUGGAGUUCGUGUGAGAUUUACCUAUGGCAACGUGGUGUAUAUCUUAGUUGUGUGGGAAUAUAUGCUUAUGGACUUGUAUAGGGCAUUAAUCUUUUUGGACAUAAUCUACAGCUAAUCUAGGUCUCUAGAACUUCCCAAAAUUUUCUUCGAUCAUAAUAGCAAACAAUCCAUCUUUGCCUCAUCUCAGUUCUCACCUAUGUUGCUCGGACUCGGGUGCGGGUGUCGGAUACGGGUACGGAUCUAGAGGUCAGAUUCGUCAUGAUCUAAAAUUUAAGAUUCGUGGGUAUGGAUCCAGGUAUAGAUACGGGUGCGGGGAUUCGGCAAAAAAUAAUUUAGAAUUCUAAAAAUAGAGUUAUAAAACCUACUUUAUGAGAUAUUACGUGGAAAACUUCAGGAGAAAAUAUUGAUCAAGAGGAGAAUCUCGGAAGGAGAUAAAAGGAAAAGGAGCGACAUAGAAAUUUCUAUAUACAAAUUAUUCCAUUUUCUUCAAUUUCACCAUAGCUUUUGUUUUGAUUACAUAAAUCAUUGAAUCUGUCCGGAAUUUCUUCCUCGAUUUUGGUCAAAGUACCCAAAAUUGGUUGACCAGAUCGGGUACGGAUCCUACACCCACACCCAUGUCGUGUCGACACGGAUGCGGCACCGAAAGUGAAGAGUCCCAUCACUAUAACUCCCAAAGAAACUAUUUUUUGUCUGCUCUUUCUGUCUAACAAAUUUAACCUCGUCGUUUAACAAAGUGUUUUAAUACUGGGACCAUUUUUGGAGUUCUGUAGAAACAGUUCUUCUUAUGUCAUAUUCCCUGUUACCAUUCCUUGGGGCCAGGGGUCUCUUAUCUCUAAAUCAUUUAUUUGUUUUAUCAUUUGGACUCCAGGAAGAAGAUAUCUCUAGCUUUAGAAGAUGAAUUGAAGUUUUAGACCAGCUCGUACUUGCUUAUAUCUUAGGAAUUUUAUUUCUUCAAGUAUCUUUGCAGUGCCAAAAUUAACACCAAGUUUCAUGUUUGGAGUUCUGAAUUAUCAUAUUACGCCAGCAUUCUCGUUAUAUCUGCUUCUAUUCCCAAGUGGAUGACAUUAUGGAAAAUCUGAAAGGCAACAUUUCAACUUUGUGUGGCUCACGUUUGCUCAAGACAAGUGUGCAUCGGUUUCUUCGGAUUAUCAUAAUAUUCAUCGUACCAUGGUUUAAAAUAAUAUGCUGGCUAGGUUGAAGCAUUAAAUUGCAUAAUCUAUGCUAUUAAAACUAAGGAAUUUAGAUAUUUCAGAAAACGGUAUCUAUCAUGAUGCGCUUAGUAUCUAUCGUAGUGCGCUCAGUACUAUAUUGGAAGAAAUUGUUGGGAGUACCUGUAACCAAAUGUCACGUCAGCGGAGUCAUCUGACUCAACAGUUUGGACCAUAUGGAGCCAAAUUGGGCGUUAUUGGUUUCUUGACUUAAACAUAUGGUGAAUGGGUAUUUUAGUUAUCUAUGGGAUAACAUAAAACAUAACAUUUAAUAUUUUGUGUUUAUGGUUAAUGUACAUAGCUCCCGAUUCCAGAAUAAAGGUUGAACUACAUAGUUGCAGGAUUUUUUUCAUAAAUGACUGAUUCCAGUCUUAACUUGCUUCAUUUGGGGUUCAAGUAUUCAUGUUAUCUUGUGACUGUAAUUGGAUUAAGUCUUAAGUUUUGAUUUUCAAGAUUGUGUUUCAGACCAUGAUAACACACAAUUCUGUGCUUCUGAAAUCACUAAAGUUCUUUUCUUUUGUUGGGUGCAGGUGUAUGCAAUGUAUGCAGCAUGCAAAGCAUGAAUAUUUUCUUGUGAAGAAUAAACUUGAAACUUUGUUUAGGCUGGAGCAACAAAUCCUGGCUGCUGGUGGUACGAUUCCUAUCAUAUCUUAAGGUGCUAAUACCAUGAAAGGGAUGGCGAGAACAAAAAAAGAUAAAUUAGGGGUUUGCUGCUGCAGAGAGUUUCAAGAUUUUUCAUGAGCUCCUUUGACUGCUAGCUUUUAAUUGUUGAAGGUCUAAAGAAUUUCAUGUGAAUAACAUAUUUAAUCAUCUUUGUUGCUUCAUUUUCAUAGGUUUUCUCGCGAUCUAUGUUAUGUUCGACCUGUCAUUUCUUUGUUUUAUAAACUCAAAUCUCACAAUUCAGAUGUUGGGUGAGUGUUUAAGACAGUAUUAGUCAUUUGUAGAACUUGAGAUGACAACGUUGUAAGUACUAUAAAUAGAGGAUUGUGUUUGAUGCCCAAA